UACAGAGGGGGCAAGCGUUGUUCGGAAUUACUGGGCGUAAAGGGCGCGUAGGCGGCCUGUUAAGUCGAACGUGAAAUCCCUGGGCUCAACCCAGGAACUGCGUCCGAUACUGGCAGGCUUGAAUCCGGGAGAGGGAUGUGGAAUUCCAGGUGUAGCGGUGAAAUGCGUAGAUAUCUGGAGGAACACCGGUGGCGAAGGCGGCAUCCUGGACCGGUAUUGACGCUGAGGCGCGAAAGUCAGGGGAGCAAACGGG
rnacentral:rRNA from 1 species